rnacentral:misc_RNA from 1 species
GACACCACUCGCCCCGACGGACCUCCCGGUCUCUGCUUCUUGCAGAAACGAGGGAAGAAGCCGGCGGCGGACUCUGCGUGCUCCGGAGCUCGCGCUCCGAGUGCACCGAACCUCGUGAACGAGACCCCCCUACUUGUAAUAGAGCAGGAUUGUUGACGGCAUGGCGUAUUUUCUGGGGAGAUUGGCACCUGCUAGGAACGCUCCAGCCGGCCACUCGACGCUUCGGCGUCUGUGACGGGCCUUGGCGGGAAUAGCAACCGCGAACCCCCCUAGACAAAACGCCACGACUUCUAGCAAUCCGACCCGCUCUUGUCCGUUUCGGGAGGUCGCCAAGUGUUUUCCGGUCGCCCGGCGCGCGCCCCGGGCGCGCGGACUAACCCCAAAUUUCGU